UAAAGUCUUGUAAGUCUGAACCCAUCGAAGUCUUAUAAGUCUGAACCCAUCGAACAAAUACAAAGCCUCCACGGUUUGGAGACCGUUGCUAAUGCUAAGCUAAACAACCCUUUUGGUUGGGGAGUUAGACACCUCAAAAACUAAUCCCAAUCAUGUAGCAAGUGCAGGUCAGCGAGGACUAAUUAGAUUAAACCCCUGACUAAAUCUAAUGCAUUAUUGCCAUGACGCCACGCCGUUGGCCUCUCCUCCAGCUCCAAGUCGAUCAUGAUGGCACACACGCCAGCUUCCUUCCACAGUCGCAGCUAGCUCCUGCUCCUUAGGUUAACUUUACGAGGCUGCCAAAUCGCACUCUAAUUAACAUACUAAUAAGCACUAGUACUGUAUGCAUGAAUCAGGAAACAUAUUAUAGUACAAAUGCUACUAAAACAACAAGGUGCAGAUCCAACGAAUAAGCUGCAAAUCUUGAUUUUGUUAAGUUUCAUGUACUAUCCAACGCAACUAAAAGUUCGAACUUAUGAAAAUAAAGGGCUAGGCAAUCUACACGUACACUUCAACAUCCCCUCUCACGUUUGACAUGGAAAGUCAUCACGUGGAUAAACUUAGAGAUAUGGCUCAAGAUGCCUAUACGUGAACAAAGAGGGUAUCAUCAAUUUUUUAGAUAAACUGUGAAAGUGAGGACUGAACUCAAGAUCUUAGACUCUAAUACCAUGUUAGAGCAUCUCUAACAGAGGCACUAAAUUAGCCGUGUGCUGUAAAAACCGGCCAUAUAGUACCUAUUAAAAGAUGAGAACCAAAAAGGGGAAACUUGGUUAUAGCCGCAUGGCUUAAAGAAACACAAAAAACAGAUGAACGGUUAUUUAGUACUCUCUCCGUCCAGAAUUACUUGUUAUAGAAAUGAAUGUAUCUAGACAUAUUUUAGUUUUACAUACAUUUUUUUUAUGAUAAGUAAUUCCGGACGGAGGGAGUAAGAUAUAUACCGGCCAGCCGGACAUGGUUGUUCCAUCGAUUGAUCGAACAAAACGAUGAUAUACUACUACAUCAGAAGCAAUCAGAAGGACUAACACUAGGUUUCGAACCCUAGUUUAUGGACACUCCUAUAAAGGAAGAGAACACAAAGAUACGACAUGGGUUUAGUGUUCAUGUCAACUGAUGUGUCCAUAAGAGACAUUCACCUCAUAGAUGUCCUUGGGCAACGGCGAUGCAAAGUAACAUGCCUUUUCUUAGAAAGGCUCACAACACACACACAUACUCAUCCAUGUGAGAGCAUACACGGAGAGAGUAGACCGGAUCUUGAGAUUGACAAACUUGCCACAUACACUUUCUGAAAGAAUAGUGCCAGAAAGCAUGAAAUAAAUUCAGGAAAUAUGUGAGCAUUAUUGCCAAAUGUGGAACUUGAACCCGGGUGGCUUGGUUCCACCACAAGAUACACACACAUCAAAUACUAUUAAAGACUAUCCACUAAGAGCAUUUUUUCGGUACCUUAUACUGCCUAUUGGAGAGAAGCAGUAUAAGCCUAAUCUAACCAUUGAUUUCUAGAGUAUCAUGGAUUUGUUCAAAUGGUAAUUAGGUCAGUUAGAUUUGUUCAAAGGGUAUUUAGGUCAAUAAUUCUAACUUCCCUCGUAACCAUAAAGGACGUGAUAUCAUUCUUGUAAUGAAAAACAAAAUUGCCGCCAGAACUAACUCGGUAGAAUAAUUAAAGGCUGACAAGAUCAAUCGUUUAAACACACAUCUCAGUGUAAUAAUCAAAAGAAGACCAUAACUUUCUAUUCAGUGAAGCUCUCUGCUUCAUCUGGAUUUAGGAAUAGAUAAGAGCGUCCGGGAUUGGAGAUGAGGCCGACGUGAUGAUGGUGCAAGGGGUUAACAUUCCUUGACAUGUCAGUGAUUUCGUCCAGCGCCUCGCUCUGCUUCUGCAGUCUUUCCUGGUCUCACCUGCAGCUACGGAGCUGUCCUUUGCCGCUGCGAACAUCUCGCCUGGGUAACCGAGCAAAACUUGGGCAAUCUAGGCUUUCCGUCUUCUUGUCGCCGGUUGUAUCCGUCUCGUCGAUCGUCGCUGCAGGCAUAGAGAUGACGGCGAUGCAGCCUAGAGGUCCGGCGUUCAUGCAUACAAGUGUAGUUCAUGCAUUAUUUAGAUCCAAGUGUCAAGUUUUCAGAGUGUCGAUGACAUGAAGCCUCAAUUCUAUCUGAACCCAUCAAACAAAGCCUUCACGGGCGCCGUCGGUUUGGAGUGUUCCAUGCACCGUUGCUAAUGCUAAGCUAAAGAACCCUUGUGGCUGAGGAGUUUGACACCUCAAAACUAAUCCCAAUCAUGCAGCAAGCGCAGGCCAGAGAGGAUUAACUAACCUGUAGCUCAAUGUAAUGCAUUAUUGCCAUGACGCCACGCCAUUGGCCCCGCCUCCAGCUCCAAGUCGACCAUGAUGGCAUGAUGUCACACACGCCAGCUUCCCUCCACAGUCGCAGCUAACUCCUCCUUAGGCCAACCUUCCAAGGCUGCCAAAUCGCACC
rnacentral:lncRNA from 1 species